rnacentral:rRNA from 1 species
GAACGCUGGCGGUGUGCUUAACACAUGCAAGUCGAACGGGCAAGAGCUGUAGCAAUACAGAAUUCUGCUAGUGGCAAACGGGUGAGUAAUACAUGGGAAUCUACCUUGCAGUGCGAAAUAACAGUUGGAAGCAAUUGCUAAUGUCGCAUAUAGCCGAGAGGUGAAAGAUUUAUCGCUGCAAGACGAGCCCAUGCAGGAUUAGCUAGUUGGUGGGGUAAUGGCUUACCAAGGCAACGAUACGUAGCCGACCUGAGAGGGUGAUCGGCCACACUGGAACUGAGACACGGUC